CUCAGUUCUUUAGAACAGCUAAAACUGCAUCCAAUCACUGUCUCUUGUACCAAUCUAAAAUCAGUGCCCAGAAGACUCAAAUUUUACUGGAAAACAAAAGGGAAGCCAAGUGUCCUGAGACUGCUAAAUUCCACCAACCACCAGACAGCUCUCUACAACAAAGAGUUAAUUGGCAGCUGUGAGACUUGAGGCAGGUAUCACGGAUGUGUCUAAAGGAAACGUUAAGCUUCUGAUGUUUCUCCCUAAUCCUCGGAGCAACGUUCUCAAAUCAGACUCCUCUCAUCCCAGAUGACCCAAGAAUGCUUGCUAUUUCAUCUCUUUCUAAGAGAACUUCUGAUCCAAUUCCAAUCUGGUAAAUAGAUAAGAAAAUUGAGACUCAUAGCCUCUCUUACUCAGCUGUUUACCCAUGGAGGCAGGAACCAAGACAGUUCUGCACAGCCGUCUAUCCCCAGGAUCUAACCCCUGGCUGCCACAUAAGCAUCCUGGUGGCCUUAUGGAACUGACAAACACUAAUCAACACAACUAGUGUGCCUGGUGCUAUGCUAGGAGGCGACAGAAGAAAAAGACACAAGACCUGCCUUCAGUAGCUCAUAAUGGAGAAGACAGUUGUACAUACAAUUUGACAUGAUGGAUGGUGUGGCUGGGACAUAUAUGUGACACUGGUGAUGGGUGCCAGGAAGACAGACCCAGUGCUCAGGUCAUUAGAGGGUCUGGUGGGCCUCCAGAACAUCAGAAACCAAAGUGGUUCUUUUCAGAGCCAGAGGGUGAACCAGGUAGUCAGGACAUAAGGAUAUUGACAGACAUUGAUCAAAAUAGAUCAAUGGAUAGAUCUCAAUGUCCAACAACCUUCCCCCCUUCACACCCACUUCUCCACGUUGACCCUUCCUCAGCUCAGAUCUUCAGGAAGGCUGCCCCAAAGCUUUGCUGCUGCCCCUGACAAGAUAUAUCAGGAUGUCCAAAACUAACCACCUAGAAACUGUGUCCUUUGGAAGGCCUCCCUCCUUGUCCAGACUGGGCUACUUGCAGUUAUAGUUCAUUUGCACUUUAGGAUAGUCAGUGUCCACUACUAUAUUCAAGGCUCUGAGAAGUCCUGAAGAAAAGGAAGCUGGAUCAUUUUGCUUAACACUGUGUCCUACAGGCUCCUUUGUAUACAGAACACUAGCUAACACCUUCCUCUAUCUCUAAUGCUUUCUGAUCUAUGCCCUCCACAAGAAGACCUAUGCCUGGUCUGGACUAGCCACAGUUUUCCUAAGGACGACAGUAUGAGGUGAGUCACAAAGUGCCCAACAUUAUCACCAAUAGUAUGUCUAAGUAAUUUUUAAUUUAAUGUCCAGAUGCUGUCAGUCCUGAGAGCAAAAUGCAACUUGAUAAAGGACAGCUCUGAUGGGGACCACAUAAAAAAGGCUGCCCAAGUUCAACAGAAUAGUGAGAAGAAACGGAGACCUAUUUGAAAGAUCAAAGAUUGAUGCUCUUAUUAGAUUUGGGGAGGAAAACAGUGAAAUUCAUGUUUGAUUAAAAAAAAAAAAAAAAAAAAAAAAAAAAAAAAAAAAAAAAAAAAAAAAAAAAAAAAAAAAAAAAAAAAAAAAAAAAAAAAAAAAAAAAAAAAAAAAAAAAAAAAAAAAAA
rnacentral:lncRNA from 1 species